rnacentral:lncRNA from 1 species
GUGCUUUCUAAUUCUGAGAGAAAAUUAUACCAAAGCGAGUAUUCUGGUGUUUCCAGACAACUAGGUCUUUGCCUAUCAUGAAUACUUUCUCAGGAAGCUACUAGAAUACUAAAAGAGGUGGUAAUCCAAAAAAGAGCCAGGAACAAGGAUAUAUCUGUUGGCUUAGGCUAUGAUGCAGUAACAAAUGACACCAAACUCUCCAUGGUUUACAUCAUAGGUUUAUGGGAUGCAGGCUAAUGGAGUGUGCUCUUUCUGGGACAUUGAUAGUCUUACGACACAGGGAGAAGACAGCCAUGUGUCUCAGUCCUACAACUGCAAGAACAAAAUGUUGUCAACAGCAUGAAUUUGGAAGCAGAUUCCUCCCCAGAGCCUCCAAAGAAGAACGUGGCUCCACCAACACCCUGAUUUGGCCUUAUGGAACCUGGAGCAGAGAAACCAAUUGAGCCAAGAUCUGCCCAGACUUCUGACCCAUGGAUGUGGCAAGAUAAUAAAUGAGUGUUGUAGUAAGACUUUAUUUGUGGAAACUUGUUUUUAUAGUAAUAGAAGAUCAAAAUGCUAUAUUAAUAUGUUCAAGUUCAGGCUAAGAAAAUAGUCUCAGGAAAAAACCAAACAAACCACAGUUGUACAUGAGCACACCUCCCCUUCCUCCAAACAGAAUUCAAGAGACAAGGACAGUGGAACACCAGAUAGGUCAUUCAAGCACCAACUGUUAGCUGUAAGAUAUAAUGAAAAGCAAACAUCUGGUUCUUUGCAUAAUUUUGAUCAAAGGAGCAUAACAUGUGUUGUACACAUUUGGAGGAAAACCAAUUGCAUUAGGAUUUUCAUCAGGGAACAACUGUACAGGUGUCAAACAGGGGUCCGGGACACCGAGCCACUACUCCACGCUUCAUGUUUUUGUGAUCGAGGAAAGAAUUGCACAUCUAACUGGGGUGAGGGGGUGAGCAGUCAUCAAGUGCCCAAUAAAAGGUCCAGGCUUCCUCAGUAGGGUGUAAAAUGUGAUGGAAUGAAAAGAAAGAC